UGGGGGCUUUUCCAGGAGAUGGGGGAAGGGACUGAGGGGCUGCCCUCUGUCCCUUCCCCCACCUCCUGGAAAAGCCCCCAA